GCUAAGCCGCACAAAACAACUUGUUCCGGAGACAGCCACCUCCCACCCCGCUCCCCUGCCUGUAACAUCGCUACGCUGGAUAUAAAUUAAAAGACCUGACUGAUGUGUUCUCCCUCUAUUCCAAUAUUGCCAUCACCUUAGGAGUUGCUGCUAUUUGUGAUUGUUUGUAUGAAGAUUGUAGCCUCAGCAAGGAGCAGUCUGAUUUUUUGGUAUGGAGGAAACAGAAGUGACGUAGGAAACAGCAGACGCGGCGUGUUGCCGCGAAACAAACACUCGUCGUCCCGUCUCUUCUCUACCCCCUCCCGACAUGUGAAGUGACCUCUUGUUGGGAAUAAAUGGAAGAAGC